rnacentral:rRNA from 1 species
CAGCAGCAGCCGCGGGAAAACAGAGGGUGCGAGCGUUAAUCGGAUUUACUGGGCGUAAAGCGUGCGUAGGCGGCUUUUUAAGUCGGAUGUGAAAUCCCUGAGCUUAACUUAGGAAUUGCAUUCGAUACUGGGAAGCUAGAGUAUGGGAGAGGAUGGUAGAAUUCCAGGUGUAGCGGUGAAAUGCGUAGAGAUCUGGAGGAAUACCGAUGGCGAAGGCAGCCAUCUGGCCUAAUACUGACGCUGAGGUACGAAAGCAUGGGGAGCAAACAGGAUUAGAUACCCCCGUAGUCCCUGUCUCUUAUAC